rnacentral:RNase_P_RNA from 1 species
CAGCCAGUCCAGGUGAUCGCGGCUGAACAGACGAAAGGGUUCAGACGAGGAAAGUCCGGGCUUCACAGGGCAGGAUGCCGGAUAACGUCCGGUGGAGGUAACUCCCAGACCAGUGCAACAGAAAUAAACCGCCCCGUUUAUACGAGGUAAGGGUGGAAAGGCAGUGUAAGAGACUACCGCCGCUGUGGUAACAGAGCGGGCACAUGUAAACUCCAUUCGAAGCAAGACCGAGAAGAAAGCCAUACGGCGGCCCGUCGUGCUUUCAGGUAGGUCGCUGGAGCCUUCUGGUAACGGAAGGCCUAGAUAGAUGAUCACUCAACGACAUAACCCGGCUUAUCGGUCUGACUGCGUA